GAACGGUAGUUGGGUUUUACACUGAAAAUAUGCAAAUGAGCAAUAAAGGCCGAACCAAGCGUUUGAAUUCUCACCAGCCUUUCCUUUAAAUUAAGGACAACUGCCAUUUUAAGUGGCUUCUUCCAUGUAUUCCCUGAUUUAAAAGUUUUCUUUGCCGGACUAACGAUUAACAUGGUAUAAAAAAAAAAUAACCUAAGUCUGGUUCCUCUUAAAACAUAGAAAUGUUUACGGCUACUAAUCUCCUGAUUAUGUAAUAUAGUAACGCUUUUCCCCGACAAUAAUAAAUUAAGUGCCGCCCAACUCUCAACAAUCCAGGGCGUUGAGAAUAGUCUUAGAUUAACCCAUGGGAUAACAUAAAUAAAUGUUAACUGGAGAAAAGGAGAAAAGUUUUCACCUCUCACUGGAAAGCACGAAAAUAUUAAACUUUCUUUUCCUCUUGCUUGAUGGUGCAGUUCCGCUCAAAGGGCUUAAGUACACCAAUGGAGGCUAGGUCAAAAGAUCAUCCAACAACCUCAAAAACCAGCUGCCAGCAAGAAAUUUGAUCAGUUUAUCAAACAAAAUGUUUAAAAUCAACUACAUCCAUACACACCUUUGCAGAGCAACAGAAAAGAACAACAAGAAAAACCGGCAGAGCCACUGUCAAGAUAUAUACUAUCCAAAGCCAGGGACGUUCUUCAGCAGCAGCCAUCAUUUGGGUCACAACACCAGGCUAGAAGAUAAAUUUAAAUCUAAAUAUAUGCAUAUCCAUUUGGUAUAGUAAACAAUAUAGUUGCCAGAGA